AGUGAACGCUGGCGGUAGGCCUAACACAUGCAAGUCGAACGGCAGCACAGUAAGAGCUUGCUCUUACGGGUGGCGAGUGGCGGACGGGUGAGGAAUAAAUCGGAAUCUACUUUUUCGUGGGGGAUAACGUAGGGAAACUUACGCUAAUACCGCAUACGACCUACGGGUGAAAGCAGGGGAUCUUCGGACCUUGCGCGAUUGAAUGAGCCGAUGUCGGAUUAGCUAGUUGGCGGGGUAAAGGCCAACCAAGGCGACGAUCCGUAGCUGGUCUGAGAGGAUGAUCAGCCACACUGGAACUGAGACACGGUCCAGACUCCUACGGGAGGCAGCAGUGGGGAAUAUUGGACAAUGGGCGCAAGCCUGAUCCAGCCAUACCGCGUGGGUGAAGAAGGCCUUCGGGUUGUAAAGCCCUUUUGUUGGGAAAGAAAAGCAGCAGGUUAAUACCCCGCUGUUCUGACGGUACCCAAAGAAUAAGCACCGGCUAACUUCGUG
rnacentral:rRNA from 1 species